rnacentral:lncRNA from 1 species
CAUUUCCUCCCAUCUCACUUGUUGUCGCCUAUUUUAUGUAUUUUAUACUUUCUUAGUAUUACACCCCUAAAUACUACAAAGCCCUGCCCAAUUUUAAGUAUUGUAGCCCCUGAUCACCGAUACCCUGUCCAAGUGACGUAGGACCCCGUAACGUAUGUCAAAGCUCUGCCUAAAUUCGUUGGGGUUCUGUCUCGUGACGUAGGGAUAAAGUAGAAUUGGGUUACCAUACUUAAUGUGAGUACACUAUAUAUUUUAUUAAAUAAUCCAGGAGUUGUACCCAAAAUAUAACAACCCUCCUGAAUAUUUUUCUGACACCCUACACUACCUAAAAUACACCCCGUAUGCGAAAACCGAGCCCAAAAUAUGUUAAAACGUUAAAAAUUAAAUAAAACAAUUUUCCAGAAACGCUCGCGGGCCGCGUAGCCUUUGGCUACCUCUUACGCGGGCCGCGACAGAUAAGAGAUAAGGAGAAACCCGGUGCUCACACGUGUCGAUGACUCAGCAACUCAUUCGCCGCCAUUGAGCCCUCGCGGGCCGCGUAAAACCUUUCCUAUCUCUUACGCGGGCCGCGUAAAACGGAGAAUCAGGCCCUAUAAAUAGAGACCUUCGGCCGUUCAUUUGAAAUCGCACCAAAAUUCUUUCUCUCUCGAAUUUCUGAAGAAUUAAAGUAAUUCUCGGGCAUUAUACCCCCUAAUUAGUGAAGCUCUGCCUCGUUGUAAGUAUCAUAACCCCUGGAUACGUAUUAGAUACUCUGCCCGAUUGAUCUAGGGUUCCGUAACGGCUGUCGUGGUUCUGCCCGACGUAGUCGUUGGAAGGCCGUCUCGGGGAGGAUAUUACUAAUGUUAAAAUGGGUUAUUAUACUAACGCGUGUGCAUUGUUUAUUCAACUAGAUUAUAACCAGGAAGCCACAAAGGAAAUACCUAAAAUAGCAAUGUAACUUAGUAUGAAGAACAUAAAAGCCAGCUGGAGUGUCACACCCCCAAAAUCCACCCGCGGAGUACCACCGCUUGGGAGUGCGACUGACCAGGAUCAAGCCAUCAAUCAUAUCAAACAUAGCAUUUAAUAAUAAAAGUAAUCAAUGUAAAUCAUCAUGACAUGAUUGAUGUUCCAAAACCAAACAUCGUUUAAAUAGCGGAAGCAUAGUAUGUAAUCUCAAAAUAGUUAUAAGUUCAAUAUCGUUCAUGAUCCGUAUCC